UAGUUGGUGAGGUAAUGGCUCACCAAGGCAAUGACGCCUAACUGGUUUGAGAGGAUGAUCAGUCACACUGGAACUGAGACACGGUCCAGACUCCUACGGGAGGCAGCAGUGGGGAAUAUUGCACAAUGGAGGAAACUCUGAUGCAGCAACGCCGCGUGGAGGAUGACACUUUUCGGAGCGUAAACUCCUUUUAUAUAGGAAGAUAAUGACGGUACUAUAUGAAUAAGCACCGGCUAACUCCGUGCCAGCAGCCGCGGUAAUACGGAGGGUGCAAGCGUUACUCGGAAUCACUGGGCGUAAAGAGCGUGUAGGCGGGUUAAUAAGUUGGAAGUGAAAUCCUAUAGCUCAACUAUAGAACUGCUUUCAAAACUGUUAACCUAGAAUAUGGGAGAGGUAGAUGAAUUUCUGGUGUAGGGGUAAAAUCCGUAGAGAUCAGAAGGAAUACCGAUUGCGAAGGCGAUCUACUGGAACAUUAUUGACGCUGAGACGCGAAAGCGUGGGGAGCAAACAGGAUUAGAUACCCUGGUAGUCCACGCCCUAAACGAUGUACACUAGUUGUUGCGAUGCUAGACAUUGCAGUAAUGCAGUUAACACAUUAAGUGUACCGCCUGGGGAGUACGGUCGCAAGAUUAAAACUCAAAGGAAUAGACGGGGACCCGCACAAGCGGUGGAGCAUGUGGUUUAAUUCGACGAUACGCGAAGAACCUUACCUGGACUUGACAUUUACAGAAUUUUUCAGAGAUGAAUUAGUGUCUGCUUGCAGAAACUGUAGGACAGGUGCUGCACGGCUGUCGUCAGCUCGUGUCGUGAGAUGUUGGGUUAAGUCCCGCAACGAGCGCAACCCACGUCGUUAGUUGCUAACAGUUCGGCUGAGAACUCUAACGAGACUGCCUGGGCAACCAGGAGGAAGGUGUGGACGACGUCAAGUCAUCAUGGCCCUUACGUCCAGGGCUACACACGUGCUACAAUGGGGCAUACAAAGAGCAGCGAUACCGCGAGGUGGAGCAAAUCUCAAAAAUGCCUCCCAGUUCGGAUAGUAGUCUGCAACUCGACUACUUGAAGUUGGAAUCGCUAGUAAUCGUAGAUCAGCAAUGCUACGGUGAAUACGUUCCCGGGUCUUGUACUCACCGCCCGUCACACCAUGGGAGUUGAACUCAUUCGAAGCGGGGAUGCUAAGAUAGCUACCCUCCACAGUGGAUUCAGCGACUGGGGUG
rnacentral:rRNA from 1 species